CGCAGGGCUGCUAAGCGGCCCGACUCCAGCACUGGAAAGUACCCCUCCGCCCCACAGCAGACAGAUGGUGUUUCUUCUGCGUCUGUGUGGAGGGGGUGGGGGAGUGGUGGUAACAAUAAGCAGCAGUAGCCACUUGACAGGCUCCCUGCUGCCAAGAAUUUGCAUGACGAGCGCUUGCUGCCAUCUGGAGAACUUCAGCUCAUUGAGGAAGAAUCAGCCUCAGCCUCACAGUUCUCUUUACCCCCAGUCUGUGCUGAGGAUCUCCCUUCCCAGGGGAGGAAGAGAGCAAAAGGCCAAUCAAUCAGAUGAACUUGGCCUGGGGGAGGCAAGCUGUGCGGUUUCUUAGGGGACGUCCUGGUGAGCUGGGCUUGCUGGUUUAAUCCAGAGGACGUGGGGACAGGUCUGGCACCUCAGAGCGGAUUAGAUGACUGAACUCCUGAUCCUUGAAAUUGGGUUCCAUGUUUGUGAAAUAAAAGCGCUGAUCUCUGUGGUCCCUUUCAACUCUGAGGGUGAUGGGGGAAGACAUCACAAAUCGGUGACCGUCAGUUGGUGGCAUCACUGGAUUUGUUUUUGAGAAAAGCAGCUUUAAGGACUCACUGCUGCACAGACAAGUCGGAA